AAACCAACAGGGAUUGCCUUAGUAACGGCGAGUGAAGCGGCAAAAGCUCAAAUUUGAAAUCUGGUACUUUCAGUGCCCGAGUUGUAAUUUGGAGAAGGCAACUUUGGGGCUGGUCCUUGUCUAUGUUCCUUGGAACAGGACGUCAUAGAGGGUGAGAAUCCCGUGUGGCGAGGAACCCAGUCCUUUGUAAAGUGCUUUCGAAGAGUCGAGUUGUUUGGGAAUGCAGCUCAAAGUGGGUGGUAAAUUCCAUCUAAAGCUAAAUAUGGCGAAAAACCGAUAGCGAACAAGUACAGUGAUGGAAAAAUGAAAAAAACUUUUGAAAAAAAAUGAAAAAGUACGUGAAAUUGUUGAAAGGGAAGGCAUUUGAUCA